UGAUAGUUGCCAUAUUCCGUUAGUAAAGCCGAAGUGUCUCUUGACAAUCAGAAGAGUGAACACCACUUUUUUUUUUCUUAAAUCUUCCAGCUCUGAGUCUCCAGCCAGAUGUUCUGCACCAGAAAUAUAGUGCUUUCAGCUGCAGUGGCAUCAGCAGCAAGCAUCAAAUGAAAAGGGAUUGAAAUAGAGAAUACACUAUGUCACUUGCUCUACACAGUUCCCAUUUAUAACUGAUAUCACAUGAGCUUCAUUAAGACUGAGAGCAGAGCCUGAGCUGUUAUGACACAGGAUCACGUAUAUGGCACAAUAUUUCUUUGAAGUUGAUGAAGCACUAAACCAGUGCUAUUCAGAUUUUGUGGAGCACUGCUGGCUUCCUGCUUGCAUCGGCCUCAGAACGACAAGAAGAGAAGGGGAACCUGGUAACCAGGAGCCAAGUCAGGUAGGAGAUUUUGCAUCUGGACGCCCUUGAGUCCAGGCACGGCUCCCAAGCCUCAUUGCAUUCAGAGCUGUGAAAGGGGAAGCACAGAGCUCUACCAUUAGGU
rnacentral:lncRNA from 1 species